GACGAACGCUGGCGGCGUGCCUAAUACAUGCAAGUCGAACGGUUUAGUUCCAAGAGGCUUGCCUUUUGGAACUAGACAGUGGCGGACGGGUGAGUAACACGUAGGCAACCUACCUGUCAAACCGGGAUAACCUCGGGAAACCGAAGCUAAACCCGGAUAAGCUCCUUUUUCGCCUGAAGGGGGAGUGAAAAGGUGCGACCUGAUGACAGAUGGGCCUGCGGCGCAUUAGCUAGUAGGUAGGGUAACGGCCUACCUAGGCGAUGAUGCGUAGCCGACCUGAGAGGGCGUACGGCCAAACUGGGACUGAGAUACGGCCCAGACUCCUACGGGAGGCAGCAGUAGGGAAUCUUCGGCAAUGGGCGAAAGCCUGACCGAGCAACGCCGCGUGAGUGAGGAAGGCCUUCGGGUUGUAAAACUCUGUUGUUUGGGAAGAAGGGAAAGGGUAGGACCCUUAGGUGACGGUACCAAACGAGAAAGCCCCGGCUAACUACGUG
rnacentral:rRNA from 1 species